GCCAGAAUGAUGUAGUGAUUUGAGCAUUAGACAACAACUCUGGAGACCAGGGUUCGAAUCCCUGCUCUGCCA